rnacentral:ncRNA from 1 species
GUCGUCAGCUCGUGUCGUGAGAUGUUGGGUUAAGUCCCGCAACGAGCGCAACCCUUGUCAUUAGUUGCUACGAAAGGGCACUCUAAUGAGACUGCCGGUGACAAACCGGAGGAAGGUGGGGAUGACGUCAAGUCCUCAUGGCCCUUAUGGGUAGGGCUUCACACGUCAUACAAUGGUCGGGACAGAGGGUUGCCAAGCCGCGAGGUGGAGCCAAUCUCACAAACCCGAUCGUAGUCCGGAUUGCAGUCUGCAACUCGACUGCAUGAAGUCGGAAUCGCUAGUAAUCGCGGAUCAGCAUGUCGCGGUGAAUACGUUCCCGGGUCUUGUACACACCGCCCGUCACACCAUGGGAGUGGGUUUCACCAGAAGUAGUUAGCCUAACCGCAAGGGGGGCGAUUACCACGGUGGGAUUCAUGACUGGGGUGAAGUCGUAACAAGGUAGCCGUAUCGGAAGGUGCGGCUGGAUCACCUCCUUU